UACGGGGGGGGCAAGCGUUGUUCGGAAUUACUGGGCGUAAAGGGCGCGUAGGCGGCCUGCUAAGUCGAACGUGAAAUCCCCGGGCUCAACCCGGGAACUGCGUCCGAUACUGGUUGGCUUGAAUCCGGGAGAGGGAUGUGGAAUUCCAGGUGUAGCGGUGAAAUGCGUAGAUAUCUGGAGGAACACCGGUGGCGAAGGCGGCAUCCUGGACCAACACUGACGCUGAGUGAGCGAAAGCCAGGGGAGCAAACGGG
rnacentral:rRNA from 1 species